AUUGAACGCUGGCGGUAUGCUUAAGACAUGCAAGUCGAACGGUAACAGGUUAAGCUGACGAGUGGCGGACGAGUGAGUAACGCGUGGGAAUCUACCUUGUAGUGGGGGAUAAGCCAGGGAAACUUGGACUAAUACCGCAUACGCCCUAAGGGGAAAGGCGCAAGUCGCUAUAAGAUGAGCCCGCGUCUGAUUAGGUAGUUGGUGGGGUAAAGGCCUACCAAGCCGACGAUCAGUAGCUGGUCUGAGAGGAUGAUCAGCCACGUCGGGACUGAGACACGGCCCGGACUCCUACGGGAGGCAGCAGUCGGGAAUAUUGGACAAUGGGGGGAAACCCUGAUCCAGCAAUACCGCGUGUGUGAAGAAGGCCUGCGGGUUGUAAAGCACUUUCAGUUGGGAAGAUAAUGACGUUACCAACAGAAGAAGCACCGGCUAACUCCGUG
rnacentral:rRNA from 1 species